rnacentral:rRNA from 1 species
GACGAACGCUGGCGGCGUGCCUAAUACAUGCAAGUCGAACGAACUCUGGUAUUGAUUGGUGCUUGCAUCAUGAUUUAUAUUUGAGUGAGUGGCGAACUGGUGAGUAACACGUGGGAAACCUGACCAGAAGCGGGGGAUAACACCUGGAAACACAUGCUAAUACCGCAUAACAACUUGGACCGCAUGGUCCGAGUUUGAAAGAUGGCUUCGGCUAUC